rnacentral:rRNA from 1 species
GACGAACGCUGGCGGCGUGCUUAACACAUGCAAGUCGAACGGAAAGGCCCUGCUUGCAGGGUACUCGAGUGGCGAACGGGUGAGUAACACGUGGGUGAUCUGCCCUGCACUUCGGGAUAAGCCUGGGAAACUGGGUCUAAUACCGGAUAGGAGCCAUCUUUAGUGUGAUGGUUGGAAAGUUUUUUCGGUGUAGGAGGAGCUCGCGGCCUAUCAGCCUGUUGGUGGGGUAAUGGCCUACCAAGGCGGCGACGGGUAGCCGGCCUGCGAGGGUGGACGGCCACAUUGGGACUGAGGAACGGCCCAGACUCCUACGGGGGGCAGCAGUGGGGAAUAUUGCACAAUGGGCGCAAGCCUGAUUCAGCGACGCCGCGUGGGGGAUGACGGCCUUCGGGUUGUAAACUCCUUUCGCUAGGGACGAAGCUUUUUGUGACGGUACCUAGAUAAGAAGCACCGGCUAACUACGUG